rnacentral:rRNA from 1 species
UACGGAAGGUGCGAGCGUUAAUCGGAAUUACUGGGCGUAAAGCGCGCGUAGGCGGCUUGGUAAGUCGGGUGUGAAAGCCCCGGGCUCAACCUGGGAACUGCAUUCGAUACUGCUGGGCUAGAGUACGAGAGAGGGGGGUGGAAUUCCAGGUGUAGCGGUGAAAUGCGUAGAGAUCUGGAGGAACACCGGUGGCGAAGGCGGCCCCCUGGUUCGAUACUGACGCUGAGGUGCGAAAGCGUGGGGAGCAAACAGGAUUAGAAACCCUAGUAGUCC